rnacentral:misc_RNA from 1 species
GAUGAAGACGUAGCGAAAUGCGAUAAGUAGUGUGAAUUGCAGAAUUCAGUGAAUCAUCGAAUCUUUGAACGCACAUUGCGGCCAUAGGUAUUCCUUUGGCCAUGCCUGUUCGAGCGUCAUUUACACCCUCAAGCCUAGCUUGGUGUUGGGCGUCUGUCCCGCCGUUCUCGCGCGCGGACUCGCCUCAAAGUCAUUGGCGGCGGUCGUGCCGGCCCCCUCGCGCAGCACAUUUGCGCUUCUCGGAGGCCCGGCGGAUCCGCGCUCCAGCAAGACCUUUCACGACUUGACCUCGGAUCAGGUAGGGAUACCCGCUGAACUUAAGCAUAUCAAUAAGCGGAGGA